UGGGGAAUCUUGGACAAUGGGGGCAACCCUGAUCCAGCCAUGCCGCGUGAGUGAUGAAGGCCUUAGGGUCGUAAAGCUCUUUCGCCUGUGAAGAUAAUGACGGUAGCAGGUAAAGAAACCCCGGCUAACUCCGUGCCAGCAGCCGCGGUAAUACGGAGGGGGUUAGCGUUGUUCGGAAUUACUGGGCGUAAAGCGCACGUAGGCGGACCAGAAAGUUGGGGGUGAAAUCCCGGGGGCUCAACCCCGGAACUGCCUCCAAAACUAUUGGUCUAGAGUUCGAGAGAGGUGAGUGGAAUUCCAAGUGUAGAGGUGAAAUUCGUAGAUAUUUGGAGGAACACCAGUGGCGAAGGCGGCUCACUGGCUCGAUACUGACGCUGAGGUGCGAAAGUGUGGGGAGCAAACAGGAUUAGAUACCCUGGUAGUCCACACCGUAAAACGAUGAAUGCCAGUCGUCGGGUAGCAUCUAUUCGGUGACACACCUAACGGAUUAAGCAUUCCGCCUGGGGAGUACGGUCGCAAGAUUAAAA
rnacentral:rRNA from 1 species